rnacentral:rRNA from 1 species
UACGUAGGGUGCAAGCGUUAAUCGGAAUUACUGGGCGUAAAGCGUGCGCAGGCGGUUCUAGUAAGACAGAUGUGAAAUCCCCGGGCUCAACCUGGGAACUGCAUUUGUGACUGUAGAGCUGGAGUACGGCAGAGGGGGAUGGAAUUCCGCGUGUAGCAGUGAAAUGCGUAGAUAUGCGGAGGAACACCGAUGGCGAAGGCAAUCCCUGGCCUGUACUGACGCUCAUGCACGAAAGCGUGGGGAGC